ensembl:lncRNA
CAACAAGAUCACAAGCUCAACACAACAUUUUGAACAGUUUGUUUUUAUAGAUUAUAUUAUGCGAUGAGGCCAGUUAAACAUUUUUACAACAUAUCUUGUCAAAUUAUCCCUCCUUCCGCUCAAUCUCCUCCUGCAGAGACGCGUUAUUCAGCAUUGUCAGAGUCAGUCUCGUCAAGGGACAAUGGAAUCUCCCCUCCUCCUCCUCCUCCAUCUCCUCUAUGCCUUCAAUCUCUUCCCGAAGCGCAGUGGGGUCUGUCAAUACAUUCCUGUACGUAAAAGCACAAGUUAUUGUCAUGGUUUGCAUCCAGUCUUGUCUUCUGACAGCAUUGCAAUGUUAACAGUAGAUAAAUCAAUUUGUAUAACUACCUACAAGGUAAUAUUACAGAAUUUUAGAGUAAACAGUGAUUUAAGAUUAUAAGUAAUGAAAUGUUUAAUAAGAUAUUCUGUAAGGCAUUUGACCUGAUAUGCAGUAUUUACAGACAGUGUGUCAAGCGUUUAUUUACGCACUGCUGUUUCGGAUGAUUUAUAUUCUAUACCUGAACAUCAAAGAAAGAGAACUGAUGAAUCAUCAAAAAUAUACUUUCGGUCAUGUAGUAAGGGAUCUCUAUACUCAUUAAUUUAAACCAAAUACACAUAUUAAGGGGAUCAUAUAUCAAUGUUGUUAAUGUCUUAAUUUCUUGUAUAAUUUCUUGUAUUGUGUUAUAUGUCAGACAACCUUCUUAUAUUUUGUACCAGAAAUGGUAUGUUAUAAAUGUGGCAUUGUUUGAAUCUAUAAAUUGGUUUUAUGUGUAGAUGGAUCGCAAAGAACAUGCCUCUCACCAAUUUAAAUUAGUUGUACUCAAAACAACCAAAGCAAGUGUGUAUUUCUCAGAAAAUGGUCUGCAUGAGGUAUACUAACCUGUAUGUAGUGAAGGCCUCAUCCAUCUGUUUGGUCAACCCCUGUAGCUUUUGUAGCAACAAGCACUUCAGCCCCUCAUAGGCCUGCAAGGACAUGUUAGGAGGAGGAGAGCCUAAAAUGGGAAAAGGGGCUAUAUUAGAUUCAUGAGAAAAGUAACAGUGAUACUGUAUGUGAGUUGUAUACAUUUGUGACCACUGAAUCCCUUUGCAUUCCAAUACUUAAACGUGUCAGUGUUUCAGUUAAAUGCCUACUGUGUUUAGACAGGUCCUCCUCAAUCUGAUGGAUCUCUCUUUUGACCGCUUUUGAGGAUCCAGUCAGGUAGCGGCAGUGGUUCCUCAUCUCCUUAAUGAGAAUCCCAUCCUCUUCCUGGACUCGAGACAGCAGCAUGGUUUUGUCAAAAACCACCUUCUUGGUCUCGAGGGGGAUUGUGGAUGCUACAACAAAGUAAUUAUGAUGAAGUUAAAAACAAACUUGAGAAUUUUUUUAAAAUGAACUUCUACUAUUCCUGGGGAAUAGACAAAAUACAAAAGGGACAUUGUGUAAAGCAAAUACAUACACUAAUACGUUUUACGUGAAUAAAAAUGCAUAUACCAGAAUCCCAUGGCCAAAUGGGGAAUUCCUGACUCAGAAUGGCAUCUGCUUUUACGUUUCUCCUUCGUAAUAAGGUCCCGCUUUGGCCUGCGAUCUUUAUUAUUGUCUAUAAAGCAAAGCAGGGACAAAUAUAUAUUUAAAAUAUAUUAUUACUGUGCCACAAAUAUAAGAUGCUUUAUUUCAAAACAAUCAUCCUACUACUACCUAUAUAAAUACAUACCUAUGUCUCUGUACAGCUCAGCUUUACGCUGCUUGAUCUUUAGGACAAGACCCUCCAUGACCGGCUGCAGCCCCUGUUGGUCCUGGCAAUUGGUGGACUUUGGACCUUAAUGUAAACAUUCAUUUUCAUUUAACACUGUUUCCUUAAAUGUAUAAUGAAAACAGAUGAAAGUAAAUGCAUUAUUUUGUAGCAACAGAAAAACUCACUGGAUGCAGCCCACUCCUCAACCUCCUUCACCCACUGCUUCAUCUCCACUUGAGUUGUCUGCAGUGUUGUCAAAAGGUUUUGGAGUUCCUUGCCCACAGCAACUGCCCUCUGCUUAGACUGCAAAUAUGUAUAUGCAUUAUUUUCUGAACAAGACCUUCAUUAAGUGUUUACUUGUCCAAUAAAGUAGGGUUUUCAAUUUGAGGAGUUUUAGCAGCAGUAAGGAGUGUUGGCGACAAUAAAAACAAAGAGACAUUGGUCAGUAAAUUCAUCCAGUGCAAGUCCUUCAGUGGCAAAUGCACCAAUCAAAUGACAGCAUGCAACACCAACAAUCACCUUGCCCACAAAAUAUUGAAUCACAAGAAUCAACCUCUAAAGUGAUCUUGGUGGUUAAGAGGUGUGAUAGGCAAGGCAAGGCAACUUUAUUUAUAUAGCACUUUUCAUACACAAGGCAGACUCAAAGUGCUUCACAAAUAAACAUUGUCAUACAAUAA